GAUGAACGCUGGCGGCGUGCCUAAUACAUGCAAGUCGAGCGAACAGACGAGGAGCUUGCUCCUCUGACGUUAGCGGCGGACGGGUGAGUAACACGUGGAUAACCUACCUAUAAGACUGGGAUAACUUCGGGAAACCGGAGCUAAUACCGGAUAAUAUAUUGAACCGCAUGGUUCAAUAGUGAAAGACGGUUUUGCUGUCACUUAUAGAUGGAUCCGCGCCGCAUUAGCUAGUUGGUAAGGUAACGGCUUACCAAGGCAACGAUGCGUAGCCGACCUGAGAGGGUGAUCGGCCACACUGGAACUGAGACACAGUCCAGACUCCUACGGGAGGCAGCAGUAGGGAAUCUUCCGCAAUGGGCGAAAGCCUGACGGAGCAACGCCGCGUGAGUGAUGAAGGUCUUCGGAUCGUAAAACUCUGUUAUUAGGGAAGAACAAAUGUGUAAGUAACUAUGCACGUCUUGACGGUAUCUAAUCAGAAAGCCACGGCUAACUACGUG
rnacentral:rRNA from 1 species